GCACCGCCGGCGUGGGAGGGAUGACACAUUUCCGGUGGCGUAACUCUUUAUAUGGAAGAUAAUGACGUACAUAUGAUAAGCACGGCUACUCGUGCCAGCAGCGCGGUAUACGGAGGGGUGCAAGCGUUACUCGGAAUCACUGGGCGUAAAGCGCGCGCAGGCGGUCUUUUAAGUUGGAUGUGAAAGCUACGGCUCAACCGUAGAACUGCAUCCAAAACUAUUAGACUAGAGUGUGGGAGAGGAAGAUGGAAUUAGUUGUGUAGGGGUAAAAUCCGUAGAGAUAACUAGGAAUACCAAAAGCGAAGGCAAUCUUCUGGAACACUACUGACGCUGAGGCGCGAAAGCGUGGGGAGCAAACAGGAUUAGAUACCCUGGUAGUCCACGCAGUAAACGAUGAAUGUUAGUCGUCGGGGGCCUCGUGUCUUCGGUGAUGCAGCUAACGCAUUAAACAUUCCGCCUGGGGAGUACGGUCGCAAGAUUAAAACUCAAAGGAAUAGACGGGGACCCGCACAAGUGGUGGAGCAUGUGGUUUAAUUCGAAGAUACGCGAAGAACCUUACCUAGCCUUGACAUUGAUAGAAUCCGGUAGAGAUACUGGAGUGCCUUCGGGAGCUUGAAAACAGGUGCUGCACGGCUGUCGUCAGCUCGUGUCGUGAGAUGUUGGGUUAAGUCCCGCAACGAGCGCAACCCUCGUCACUAGUUACUAACGGUUCGGCCGAGGACUCUAGUGAGACUGCCUUCGUAAGGAGGAGGAAGGUGAGGACGACGUCAAGUCAUCAUGGCCCUUACGGCUAGGGCAACACACGUGCUACAAUGGCCAGGACAAUGAGAAGCGAUACCGCGAGGUGGAGCAAAUCUAUAAACCUGGUCUCAGUUCGGAUUGUAGUCUGCAACUCGACUACAUGAAGCUGGAAUCACUAGUAAUCGUAGAUCAGCUAUGCUACGGUGAAUACGUUCCCGGGUCUUGUACUCACCGCCCGUCACACCAUGGGAGUUGAUUUCACCCGAAGCGGGGAAGCUAAACUGGCUACCCUCCACGGUGGAAUUAGCGACUGGGGUGAAGUCGUAACAAGGUAAC
rnacentral:rRNA from 1 species